rnacentral:rRNA from 1 species
GAUGAACGCUGGCGGCGUGCCUAAUACAUGCAAGUCGAGCGAACAGAUAAGGAGCUUGCUCCUUUGACGUUAGCGGCGGACGGGUGAGUAACACGUGGGUAACCUACCUAUAAGACUGGAAUAACUCCGGGAAACCGGGGCUAAUGCCGGAUAACAUGUUGAACCGCAUGGUUCUACAGUGAAAGGCGGCUUUGCUGUCACUUAUAGAUGGACCCGCGCCGUAUUAGCUAGUUGGUGAGGUAACGGCUCACCAAGGCAACGAUACGUAGCCGACCUGAGAGGGCGAUCGGCCACACUGGAACUGAGACACGGUCCAGACUCCUACGGGAGGCAGCAGUAGGGAAUCUUCCGCAAUGGGCGAAAGCCUGACGGAGCAACGCCGCGUGAGUGAUGAAGGUCUUCGGAUCGUAAAACUCUGUUAUUAGGGAAGAACAAAUGCGUAAGUAACUGUGCGCGUCUUGACGGUACCUAAUCAGAAAGCCACGGCUAACUACGUG